rnacentral:rRNA from 1 species
UACGUAGGGUGCGAGCGUUGUCCGGAAUUACUGGGCGUAAAGAGCUCGUAGGUGGUUUGUCGCGUUGUUCGUGAAAACUCACAGCUUAACUGUGGGCGUGCGGGCGAUACGGGCAGACUGGAGUACUGCAGGGGAGACUGGAAUUCCUGGUGUAGCGGUGGAAUGCGCAGAUAUCAGGAGGAACACCGGUGGCGAAGGCGGGUCUCUGGGCCGACAUUGACGCUGAGGAGCGAAAGCGUGGGGAGCGAACAGG